rnacentral:rRNA from 1 species
AAAAACUCCGGUGGUAUACGAUGGACCCGCGUCUGAUUAGCUUGUUGGCGGGGUAGAGGCCCACCAAGGCGACGAUCAGUAGCCGGCCUGAGAGGGUGAACGGCCACAUUGGGACUGAGACACGGCCCAAACUCCUACGGGAGGCAGCAGUGGGGAAUAUUGCACAAUGGGGGAAACCCUGAUGCAGCGACGCCGCGUGAGUGAAGAAGUAUUUCGGUAUGUAAAGCUCUAUCAGCAGGAAAGAAAAUGACGGUACCUGACUAAGAAGCCCCGGCUAACUACGUGCCAGCAGCCGCGGUAAUACGUAGGGGGCAAGCGUUAUCCGGAUUUACUGGGUGUAAAGGGAGCGUAGACGGUGAAGCAAGUCUGAAGUGAAAGGCGGGGGCUCAACCCCCGGACUGCUUUGGAAACUGUUUGACUGGAGUGCAGGAGAGGUAAGUGGAAUUCCUAGUGUAGCGGUGAAAUGCGUAGAUAUUAGGAGGAACACCAGUGGCGAAGGCGGCUUACUGGACUGUAACUGACGUUGAGGCUCGAAAGCGUGGGGAGCAAACAGGAUUAGAUACCCUGGUAGUCCACGCCGUAAACGAUGAUCACUAGGUGUCGGUGAGUAUAGACUCAUCG